rnacentral:rRNA from 1 species
CCCUUAGAUGUCCGGGGCCGCACGCGCGCUACACUGAAGGAAUCAGCGUGGCUUUCUCCCUGACCCGAAAGGGUUGGGAAACCCGUCGAAUCUCCUUCGUGAUAGGGAUUGGGGCUUGAAAUUGUUCCCCAUGAACGAGGAAUUCCCAGUAAGCGCGAGUCAUAAGCUCGCGUUGAUUACGUCCCUGCCCUUUGUACACACCGCCCGUCGCACCUACCGAUUGGAUGGUCCGGUGAAGCCUCGGGAUUGUGGUUCUUGCCGCUUUAUUGUGGCGUGACCGCGAGAACUUGUCUAAACCUUAUCAUCUAGAGGAAGGUGAAGUCGUAACA